CGGGGCAACCUCGGCCUGACUCAGGAGAGGCUAUAAAGGGAACUGCUGGAGGCGCAGUUCGGUCUUUUACGUCUGGACUUGGGAGCCCCUGAGGUGGUGGUAGAUCAAAAGAUUAUUUGAAAAUGGUAGUCUCCGACCUUGUCUGAGAUUGAGUGGUACUGUGCCCAGGUGGCGCUAUGUGCAAACCAGAUGAGUGAAAGGCAGGAUUCUAGUACUGAAAACCUUCGCCUGCCGUUCUGUGAAAAUGCUUAGUUUUCCAAAAUAUUGGUCCCAUGCGGGAGCAGUGGCUCUCAGUGGUGUAACGGAGCUGUUACCUGGAGAUGUUGAGAUGCAAAGGAAAAUUCCAAAACACGUGAGAGAAUACUUGCUUGGAACCUGACAGUCUUACCCAGCAUCCUGGAGGUUGAAGAAUAAUAAUGGAGCUAUAAAUGUCACUGACGAGCAACCUUGCAAAUGAGGGAUCGCUGUCUGCCCAUGGGAAGAGUUUGCAGUAAUCUUCCUAAGGUAUAACCCAUUUCUGGCUAAUGCUACGAGAUUUACUUGUAUGAAAGACAAGGAAAAGCUCUUCACUUUACUGACAUGGGAAGAAAACCUACAAAUCAAGACAAUAUAUUGUUUUUUUAUUUUUGUAAACAGAUUAUGAAGCAGCAUCAAAUCUAAUGUAUCCAUAAGAAUUAAGCCAUUUCCUUUUACUUUUUGUCACACUGCCCUAGUUACAACCUGUUAAAUAGAUUACUUGGUAGAACUAGCUCUAUUUUACAGGAAUGCAUAGAAAACUAUGUGUUUUUUAUGGAGAAGUCUUUGUUUUCAGUUAACCAGACUUGAAAUCAGAUUGUUCUGAAUGCUUCACCUUUGGUCACCUGUUUGAAUUUAAAAUGUAUGAUUGUAAUUAAAGCUGAGUGAAAAUUUA